GAGACCAGAAAUCACAGGGAGACAGAUCUCCACUGAAGACAGAGGAGAGUUCCAAAGUCAUGGGAACCUUCCAGAGAAUCCUUGGGCUUCAGAAGCACCAGCAAACUGUAGUCUGUGUCCGAAGGCACAGGGGAUAGGAGCCUUGGAGGAGUGAAUGUCGGUCGACCUAGUUAAUUGGGUCUUUGCUCUUUGUCUAGGAGAUAGAAUUAAAGGGGCAGAAAGAGGACAUCUUAAAUAACAAAUUGAAGGACGCCCUGCUCCUGGUGGAGGACGCUCAGCAGAUGAGGACAGCCGAGAGUACCAGGGCCGAGAAGCUCUCCCUGAAGUUAAAGGAAACCUUAGCAGAGCUGGAAAUAACCAAGGCAAAAAUGAUUAUGGCGGAGGAUCGGCUGAAGCUGCAGCAGCAGUCGAUGAAGGCCCUGCAGGAUGAGCGGGAAUCCCAGAAGCACGGCUUCGAGGAGGAAAUCACGGAGUACAAAGAGCAAAUCAAACAGCACUCGCAGACCAUCGUGAACCUGGAGGAAAGGCUCAGCCAAGUGACUCAGUACUACAGGAAAAUAGAAGGAGAGAUAGCAACAUUGAAAGACAGCGAUUCAGCUCAAAAGGAGGAAGUGCCCCAAGAGUUCACCAUAGUACCCUCACUGGACAGCAGUGCCAAAGAAAUAGCGUGCGACCACCUGAUAGAUGACUUACUAAUGGCUCAGAAGGAAAUCCUGUCUCAGCAAGAGAUUAUCAUGAAGCUGAGGACAGACCUCGGGGAAGCCCACACGCGGAUGUCAGACCUGAGAGGGGAGCUGAGCGAGAAGCAGAAGACAGAGCUGGAGCGGCAGGUGGCCCUGGUGCGGCAGCAGAACAGUGAGCUGAGCAUUCUCAAGGCAAAGGUGGUGCAGACGACCGGCCUGGUGGAGAAGAAGGACCGGGAACUGAAGGUCCUCAGGGAGGCGCUCAGGUGUGGGAAGGGGUCCGUGUGACACGACCACCCCAAGGCAUCCGCACAGAGAGGGCUCAGUAAAUGUUGGCUGAAGCAGACUG
rnacentral:lncRNA from 1 species